UUAGUAUAUGUUUAUUUGUCUUUACAAGUGUAACCGUGCUUAUAUUCUAGGAUCACUGCAAUUGAAGCAUUCGAGAAAUAUACGUUCGGAACCAUAUUAUUAUCCUUUGUUAUGGAGAGCGUUGAGAGGAGGAAGGCUUACAAUCCAAUCUCGAGAAAUACCGCACGGUAUAUACAUUAG